AACGCGGCGUGCGCGGCGGCCCGGCCUCGGGCGCUGGGGCCCGGCCUCGGGCGCGGAAAGGACCGAGAGAACGGGGGCUUCGCCUGUGCGGACAGUGCCAUGGUGGGAGAUGAGAGGGGAGCCCCGAACACACAGAAGAGAAGGACAGCUCUAAACCCGGGCAGCUGGAGCUCAGCUGUAAGGCCAUCCAUCGAAGAGAAGGUCACUCUAAACAAGCCUACGUCCUGAGGACCUCGCUGCAACCGUCCAAGCUCACUCGGCCCCGGCAGAUGAACCUUAGGAUUAAAGGGUGGGCUCAGUUCAGCGCACACUGUGUCUCACCGAUAAAAUCCAUUGCGCAGGCUCGAAGGCCUUACCCGCAUUUGCGAAGUCCUGUAUCACCAGCGCGCUUGUAAUAAACGUGGGUAGAGACCUUUCCCAAAUCUUCGUUCAAGAAGACUGGCCAUGAAUGAAUGAAUGAAAGUUCCCACAAAUUGGAAAACUUAAACAGAAACCCCCACGUCACUGGGAAUUCUGCUGAACUUUGCUAAUUUGUUGAACUUCAGUUAUAAACAUUUAUCAUUCACUCCAGUGGUCUGAAGAACCCCUGAGCAAUACAAAUGAAGUGUCAGGAGAAAAGACAAAUAUUUUCUCUAUUUAAUCUGAAGCUUGAUCCAGGCCAGAGGCAUUUUUAUGCCUAUGGCAGGAAACUAUCUUCCAUAUUUCAUUUAAAGCAGCAAUUAACUGGUUCAGAUUAAUUAUCCAUUUGUAGCCUAGCUCAUGUUUUAUUGUUCAUUUUAAACUUUUCAGAUUCUCAUCCUUAUCUUUCAAAAUGACAUCCAGGUAAUCCUUGAGCAAAGCCUGAGUCCUUAUUUAUUCCUCUGCCUCCUUCACUGGAGCUCAUGCCUGAAAUAUAGCAGCUACACUGGUUUUGGAGAUGUUUUACCCUCUGCUCACAGCUGACAGCUCUGCUGGUGAAAGUAAUUAUUCAGAGGAACUGGAACAUCACAAAGCUCAGGAAGGACCGAAACAUUUAAUCCACCGCAGUCGCUCAUACUGUGCUAUCAGCAGCAAGAAGGUGCAACCAGGUUAUAGUGGUCACUGAAGCUCCAGAGAAUGCUUCACAUAACAACAGCCAGACUAUGGUAACAGAGGAUGGUAUCUUCUGGAUUAAAAAAAGGAAUUAACGUAAUACAGGUGUAUGAGAAAAGUUUCAAGCAUUCUGUCUGCCACUGACUUUAAACUUUUUUCUACAUUUCUUUGCUUUAGAGCUCUUAUUGUGUGCUACUUUUUCUGCCAAAUUAUAAUUAUUUUAAAUUGUGCUCUCAAGACAUAACAAAAUCCCAAAGGUAAUUUUGCAUAAACAUCAACAGUGGUAUGUAGUGGAUUAUACAACAGUAAUGCAUCUAACAAGUCAUAUGCCUAAACCCAAGUUUCAGGACAAAGGAGAAGAGCAGCAAGCUAAAAGUGAGUAGGGCAACAGAAGGUCUGAUAUUGACUGUUAUACAUCUCUAUACCACAACAUAGCUACAAAUACAACAGACGUCCACUAUAUGGUAGAUUUCUACUGUAUUUACACUGAAACACAUUCAUUCUUAUACCAGCUUUCUAAAUAAUCAGCUCGUCACUUCAUUAGCAAUUCCUAAAGACUCAUGCAAUGACUUCUCUUUGCUGUGUAUCCGCAACCAAGGGUACCAGGCACACAUACAAGUAGGGUUUAUUUUCCUACCCCAGAAGUAUUAUGAACCUAAAUGCAGCA
rnacentral:lncRNA from 1 species